AAAAAAUAAAAAACCAGUGAUAGGGCACAAGCGGUCGGAAGCAGGCCUCCAAAGUCGAAACGCAGGAUGACAUGACGCUGCCGUAGAAGUAGAAAAUCCCCAGUUCAAAUCCACUAUUAGACCGUGUGGUGUCAGUGUGGACACUAAAAAAUCGUGAUAUCAAAUACCGUUUUUAACUUAAAAAAACGUGAACUGAAAGAAGGAUUUCUAAAAAGUAAGUAAUACUCCUCCUCGUCCUGGAAGUGGAAAAUAGCUACUCUAGCUAGUUGUAAAGCUCAGAGGAACAGAACCGAACCGAACCGAAAAAAAUGUCAACGAAACGCAGACGAGAUUAUUACGACGAAGACGACAACAACGGCGAGGAGUACGAAAACGACGCCGUAUUUGCCAACGGCAGCAAGAGCCAGAAAGUUGAAGUGGAUCUCUCUCUCUUGGAAGCCUUAGAGAAAUCCCAAUCCCAAAACAAGAACGCAGUCGAAGUGGUCGACCUCAAAACCCUAAAGAAACUCGUCCUCUCCUUCGAGCGAAAGCUCAAGGACAACAUCGAAGCUCGCCUCAAAUACCCUAACCAACCCGACCGAUUCGCCGACUCCGAAAUCGACCUCCACGACGACCUCCACAAGCUCAGCAUCCUCGCCGGAGCUCCCGAGCUAUAUCCGGAUCUCGUCAAUCUCAAUGCGAUUCCUUCGAUUUUGAACCUCCUUGCUCACGAUAACACCGAUAUCGCCGUCGAUGUGGUUCAGUUGCUUCAGGAUCUGACGGAUCCUGAUGUCUUUGAGGACGAUGAGGAGAGUGAUGAGCCGGCUAGGGUUUUGGUUGACGCGCUGGUGGAGAACAAUGUGCUCGAGCUGCUUGUUCAGAAUCUGCAGCGGUUGAACGAUUCCGAUCCCGAUGAGAUGGCCGCGGUGUAUAGCACGCUCACGACGGUGGAGAAUCUGGUGGAGGUGAAGCCUGCGGUGGCGGAGAUGGUGUGCGAGAGGACGAAGUUGUUGAAGUGGUUGCUAGGGAAGAUAAAGGUGAGGGAGUUUGAUAGUAACAAGCAGUACGCGUCGGAGAUUCUGGCGAUUUUGUUGCAGAAUAGUGCGGCGAAUCAGAGGAGAGUAGGGCAGAUGAACGGCGUGGAUGUGGUGCUUCAGGCCGUGGCGAUGUACAAGUCGAAGGAUCCGAAGAGUUUGGAUGAGGAGGAAAUGGUGGAGAACUUGUUUGAUUGUUUGUGUUGCCUGUUGAUGCCGUUGGAGAACAAGGAGAGGUUUGUGAAGGCCGAAGGUGUGGAGUUGAUGAUCAUUAUUAUGAAGCAAAAGAAGUCGGCUUAUAGCUCGGCUAUUAGGGCACUUGAUUUCGCUAUGACGAAGUAUCCUCCGGCUUGUGAGCGUUUCGUUGAUGUGUUGGGAUUGAAGACUGCCUUUGCUGCAUUUAUGGGUAAGAUUCCUGUGAAUAAGAAAAACAAGAAAGAGCGCUACCAAGAGGAGUUAGAAGAGCGCAUUGUGUCACUUAUUGCAUCAUUAUUUGGUGGAAUUUUGAGGGGUUCUAGAAGGGAAAGAUUGUUGAGUAAAUUUGUUGAAAAUGAAUGUGAAAAAAUAGACCGGCUUAUGGAGCUUUAUAUGAGAUAUUCUGAUAGAGUCAAAACAGAGACCGAACGGCUAAAUCAUCUUGAACUCGAUGACUUGGAGAUGGAUGAAGAGGAGAAGUACAACCGGAAGCUAGAAUCUGGGCUUUACACUCUUCAGCUGAUCCAGGAAAGUAAUGGAGGUUAUAUGUGAUAAAAGAGAAGUUUCAGAGGCUAGGGCUGGUUAUGUUUAUAAUUGUAGAUUUGUAAAACCAGAAAAAAAGAUGGUGCAAAAUCGGUGGGCCCUGGACUUUUCUAUGUUGCUGUUCUGAUGCUACAAGGCAGCGUUUUGAUCGAUUAGAGUUUCCAAUCUUAUCAAGUUGUCACCUGGAUCACACUUAGUAGGCUUCUGAUGAAGCUAAUAGUCUUAUAGGAGGGUUGAUUCUGUUAUAUGAUAGACCCAGAACAAUUGUGUUAAUUCUCUAUGUCGAGUAAAGUAAUUGGGAAUAACUGGUUCAUUCUGGCUUUUAAAGAGCUCUUGUAGUGCUGGGAGCCUGUACCAGAUCUCUUGGUCAAAAGUGUUUGGUGAAAAAAUAAAGUAGAAGAGAAGCAGUUUGGAAAAUUAUACUUUUGAGCGGAAAUGGAUCUAAAGGACCAGCUACUUUUGGAUUGCAUGUGAAAAUAGUAAAAUUGCUCGCCCUUGCAUUAUGGAAAGGGAAUCAAUCUUUGGCUGAAAGGAAUUGUAACCACUAGUAUAGAUUGUUUUUCUCCUUUGUUUAAUGACAGUCUCUACUUUUAUGUGAAAUGUUGCUUUACCAAUUCAGAAAGGUGGUUUUUGAAGCACAUGGAAAUAAGUUGGCUGGGUAAACAAUCUUGAUGGAGUAUCCUCAACACUCUUGGAUUUGGAGUAUAUAAUCUCAAAUAUAAACACAGCAAAAAAUUGACAGCCGGGCUUACCACCAGCCUCUUGUUGUGAAAGUAGUACCUGUCACCUUUAUGUAGCAGGAACUCUGGGGGUUUACUUAUGGUAGUAGCUGGGAAGGGAACUUUUUAAUUUUAAAAAUUAGAGAAUGAAACUUAACUCUCUUAAUGUAAAUUUAAUCCUAUGUUAGCAUAAUGUUUGUGCCUCCAAAGAAACACUAUUGCUCAUGAAAUGCUAUAGCUGAUUGCCGUAAUUCUGGGUCAUAUUUGGUGCUCUGAGCAUCCCUAUAUGAGAGCAAGAAUUGAACUACUACUCAAGCAGCAAAAGCUUAC